rnacentral:lncRNA from 1 species
UUUGUUCAGCUGUACACCUGUCAGAUUUUAACUGGUAGAUGAGUGUUAGUGGCAUGGAGAAAAGAAAAUAGUAAUCAUGAGCGCAGUAAAACUUGUGCAGUUAUAAAUGCUGAUUACACGUUCUCCUAUUAAAAUGUUUUACAUGUAAACCCACUAACAAGACAGCCGUUUGGAACACUCUCUUCACAUUCUCUGAAUAUUUAAACUCCUGAGAUGGACAAGAUUUAAAAAAAUCAAGAUCAAAUCCCUCAAAUUUUAAACUCUGAGAUUUAAAACAAAGAAAAUAAAUUUCUAAGUACCUUAGAAUUAAACAUAAUGUUUAGA